rnacentral:scRNA from 1 species
UUGGAGGUAUAAGAAGGUGGAGCUGCUGAAGUGCGUAGUUCUCACUGAUACCCGCCUCCUACAUUGAAUGUGGUAGCGUGAACCACCUGAUCUAAAGCUGUAGAUUCUGCGUGCUCUGCACCUACCCACAGUC